rnacentral:lncRNA from 10 species
UUAGCUCACAAUUAUACAGCAAAGUCUCCUGGGAGGGUUUAUAUGUUAAGCUCUGUCAGUAAUUUCUCCCCUAGCAAGAAUGAGGAAGAUGAAGAGCUCGGGUAUCUGAGGGCUGGUGUGUCUGCAUGCGUGUGUGUUUUGGGGGCCGACUGAAGGAAGAGAAGGCUGGAGAGAGGGAACAUGGGUCUGAGGGCACAUCGCUAAGGGGUCAAGAGGCCUAAAGGAGGAGUCUAAGGCUCUCCAUCGAACUUGGACUUGGUCUACAUUAGACUUUAACCUCCAUGAGGCUUGGACUUUCAGGCUUCCUCCCUCACACCGCGGGCAGGUGAGGCGUCUGCUACAGGCCUGGUCUCGCAGAGGGGGCCCAGCGCCCCCCGCCGCCGCCUUCUCCUGGAGUCUGUGUGACAGAAUGGGACCUGUGGGAAAGCAGCACGUCAGCACCCAGCCCCGCUUGCGCGCCAGCAGCUAAUUAAAGCCAGGAAGGUGAUGGCGAUUUUCAACUCAUUCCCGUUACAAACAGCCGACCUUCCUACCGAGUUCAAGUACCUUCUGCCUGGCCUGGAAGAACAAUAUCUCUCUGUCUCCCUCUUCCACUGGCCCUCACCUGCCUUCCCCUGAACAUGCAUUUUGCCUGACAGGAGACAGAGGCAGUUGAGAUGGAGUCUUGCUAUAUGGCCCAGCUGGUAAUGCCUAGAUUCUUGAGUCCCUCCCUGGCUCAUCCCUGGGAGCAGCACUGAACCCCUUGUCUGACACCUGUCUGGAAAUGGAGCCUGCACAUUGACCCUAGCCAUGUGUGGUCUUGUUACUAAGUGUUAGCCAGUGAGAGAACAUACAAGAGGAGGCCCAUGUUGAUUCAGAGGAUGAAUGAGAGAUGCUUGCAGCUUGGUCCAGGAGGCCAGCAGGACCAGAGAGAAGACCACAGCGACACAUGGGGAUGGCUGUCCCACAGGCAGAAAUGAGCAGCCGGGAGGAAGCCCAGGCAGCCAGCCACCCAGCUCCCUCCACAUCGUGGCCCUAGAACGGAGUCUUGAAGAAUAAGAAGCCACAGCUUGUCAGGGAAUCAGGCUGGAAAAAUGUUAUGAGACUGAGUAAGACCAGAGUUUCUGGGUCAUUGGUGAGACUGGAUUUCAUAGAAGAGUCUUUGCUACAGCAAAACCUCUCUUCAAGCAAUACACUAUUCAAGCUGCUGGAGGCUAGAUUGACCAGAAAAAUGGGGCCAAUAUCAUGAUUCCUCAGCAGUGCCUGGAGAAGACCAGGAGAGGAAGCAGAAGACCCUCCUCAAAGAAGCAGCCUUCACCUCCAGACCUCCCAGCGGGACUUAGACAAUGGGGUUAGGCAGUCACAUGUCUGCACGUGGAAACUUUCUGGGACUGUGCUUGGAUCCUGGCUCUGCCUUUUACUAGCCAUGUGACCUUGGGAAAAUCACUUGACUUCUCCGUGCAGGAUUCCUCAUCUGUAAAAAUGGUCUAAGAUUAGGAGCCACCUCAAGGUUGUUGUAGGAAUUAAAUUAAUUCAUGUUUAUAAAGUGCUUUGAACAGCGUUUGGCACAUGGAGAAUUAAAUGAGCAAACGGAAGAGCAGCAACCCUGAGUUACAUUUCUCAAGACACCGGGGCUCUUGAUGGCACAGCAGCAGCUUGCUAGAGCUUGGUAAAGAGACUUGGGCCUGGUACCUGAAGGGCAAUUCCUUGGCCAUGACAUUGUAGGGAAAGACCUCUAUGGGUGUUGAAAAGACAAGGCGAGGACAAGAAGAGUUGAAAAGGAGCUGUUCUGAAGCCACCUGGCUGUGGAUGGAGGAAGCCACAUGUAGCUUAGGUAGCCUGCUAUUGUAAUUUUUUCUGCAACUGAAGAAUUCGAAAUGGGUUUGGUGGGUAGCGAAGGGCAGAAUCUGGCUUCAAGGUGACAGAGUUUGCAUAGAGAUGGCCUUCUUGAGCAAAGGUAGUGACUCCUACAUUUUUUUUUUUUGUAGAGUUGUGAUACCCAUGAGUUAGUCAGCUUGGGCUAUCAUAACAAAAUACCACACAUUGGUUGGCUUAAACAACAGAAAUUCAUUUUCCUGUAAUUCUGGAGGCUGGAAGUCCAAGAUCAAGGUGACGACAGAGUUGGGUUUCCUCUGAAGCCUCUCUCCUUGGUUUUCAGAUGGGUGUCCUCUUGCUGUCUCUUCAUGUGACUGUCCCUCUGCAUGUGUGCCCCUGGGGACUCUUUCUUAUCUUAUAGUGACACUAGUUCUAUUGGAUUGAAGUGUACCCAUACGACCUCAUUUAAACUUAAUUACAUAUUGUAAGGCCCUAACUUCAAAUACAGUCACAUCCUGAGGUACUGUGUAUUAGGGCUUCAACAUAUAAAUUUUGGGGCAAUCCAGUUCAGCCCAUAAAAUCCCUUUUUGGUUGCUUGAUUCUGUUUAUUUGGUGUCAUGCCUUCCUUUUCCUAAAGAACUUCAUGAAUAGAAUUACUUUCUAAGUGAAAGGAACAAAACUGAUUUUUAUUAAAAAUUAUUUUGAGAUGCUUGUGACAAAUUUUGAAGUAAGUGAAGAUUUUCCUGGAGCUUCUACAAAAUCCUGGCUGAGAAUCCCUGCUUUCUGGACAGUUGAGAAGGAAAUACACUUAGUACAGCUGUUAGAGAGAUAUAGUUGCAACCACUGAGUGCUUAUUAUCUGCCAACUUAAAUAUAUUGCCCAAGGGAAUAACAAAUAUUCUAGUGUUCUUGUUAAGUAUAUUGUCUAAGGUCACACAGCUCUUAAACAACAGCUUCAGGAUUUGAACCUGGAAUCUAUCUGACUCCUAAGUCCAGAUGCUGUUCACCACAUUAGGUUGAAGCAUGGCCAGUGUUCAUAACAUACAACUAUGUCUCCAUAUCUUUUGCUAACCAAUGUUCUUGUAUGUGCAUACCUUACAGGGCAGCCAUUCACCACAAGCCCUACUAGAUGGCUUCCUGUAAUAAGGGUAGAACAGUAGUACUCUCCUUUUGAGAAGUUAUUUGUAAUUUUGUUGGUGGGCUGACAUUUAGGCCCUGCUCUCCAGCCCCAGAGGGGAUCCCAUAACCUAGAUCAGGCCAAUGAUGAUUAUCUCCGUGACUGUAGUGGCUGGUCCAGCGGGGAGGGUCAGGCAGGUAAGCUGGCCCAACCUGAGUCCUUCUUGAGGAUUUUAGAAACUGAAGGUAGGAGAGAAAAAUUCUCUCUUUUCUUCUGGGGAACGGGAUGAAGGUGGUGGGUAGGCAGAGCUGUUGGGAUGUGGAUCCAGGGAUUCUGGAAGUCCUGUCCUCCACCAUGUAAAGAAUACAUCCUGCAGAAGGAGAGAAGGGAGCCAGCACACAGAGAAGCAGAGUCAGGAGAUGGAGAAGGAGAAUCCUGAGAGCCUGAAGGUCCCUGGGUCCAGCCAUUGUCAAGGCCGAGUUCUACCGUCCUUAAGUUGUUUACCUUUCUUUCUUGCUUGCUUCUGUUAGAAGAUGAACACUCAAUGAAAAAUCACCAAACAUCUGAGGAAAGCCAUCAAAAUGAAAUAAACGAAACACACAAGUUCCUAAACACAAGUGAACAGCGUGGGCUGGGUUUUUGUCGCUUGGAACUGGAAACGCUGACGAUAAUGCUGACCUCUGAGCAGACCCACGUGAGGGGCAGCUGUGGUGUGGUGUGAUGAUGCUGGGAUAGGCACUCAGAUGGUUGAGUCUGAGUUUGGCUCUGAUAUUAUAUCAACUGCAUGGGCAGCUGUGGUGUGGUGUGAUGAUGCUGGGAUAGGCACUCAGAUGGUUGAGUCUGAGUUUGGCUCUGAUAUUAUAUCAACUGCAUGGGCAGCUGUGGUGUGGUGUGAUGAUGCUGGGAUAGGCACUCAGAUGGUUGAGUCUGAGUUUGGCUCUGAUAUUAUAUCAACUGCAUGGGCAGCUGUGGUGUGGUGUGAUGAUGCUGGGAUAGGCACUCAGAUGGUUGAGUCUGAGUUUGGCUCUGAUAUUAUAUCAACCGCAUCAUUUUGGGGAAGACACAAUUUCUCAGAAUUUUAUUUAGUUGUAAAAUAAAGAUAAUGAUAUUACAUGCUCUGUCUACCAUCUAGAGUUUUUGUCAAGACAAAC